rnacentral:rRNA from 1 species
UACGGAGGAUGCAGGCGUUAUCCGGAUUUAUUAGGUUUAAAGGGUGCGUAGGUGGCCCAUUAAGUCAGUGGUGAAAGUUUGCAGCUUAACUGUAAAAUUGCCAUUGAUACUGGUGGGCUUGAGUCUGGUGGAGGUAGGCGGAAUGUGUAGUGUAGCGGUGAAAUGCUUAGAUAUUACACAGAACACCGAUUGCGAAGGCAGCUUACUAUACCAUAACUGACACUGAGGCACGAAAGCGUGGGGAGCAAACAGG